rnacentral:rRNA from 1 species
UUCUGGCUCAGGAUGAACGCUAGCGGCAGGCUUAACACAUGCAAGUCGAGGGGCAGCGCGAGUAGCAAUACUUGGCGGCGACCGGCGCAAGGGUGCGUAACGCGUGAGCAACAUGCCCGUAUCAGGGGGAUAAUCCAGGGAAACUUGGUCUAAUACCCCAUAGUAAUUUUGUAAGGCAUCUUAUAAGAUUUAAAGCUUUGGUGGAUACGGAUUGGCUCGCGUGACAUUAGCUGGAUGGUAAGGUAACGGCUUACCAUGGCUAUGAUGUCUAGGGGUUCUGAGAGGAAGGUCCCCCACACUGGAACUGAGACACGGUCCAGACUCCUACGGGAGGCAGCAGUGAGGAAUAUUGGACAAUGGAUGGAAAUCUGAUCCAGCCAUGCCGCGUGAAAGGAAGAAGGUCCUAUGGAUUGUAAACUUCUUUUGUAUGGGAGCAAUAAGGCCUACGAGUAGGUUGAUGAGAGUACCAUACGAAUAAGCACCGGCUAACUCCGUGCCAGCAGCCGC